CCUACGGGUUGCAGCAGUGGGGAAUAUUGCACAAUGGGCGCAAGCCUGAUGCAGCCAUGCCGCGUGUACGAAGAAGGCCUUCGGGUUGUAAAGUACUUUCAGCGGGGAGGAAGGCGAUAAGGUUAAUAACCUUGUCGAUUGACGUUACCCGCAGAAGAAGCACCGGCUAACUCCGUGCCAGCAGCCGCGGUAAUACGGAGGGUGCAAGCGUUAAUCGGAAUUACUGGGCGUAAAGCGCACGCAGGCGGUCUGUCAAGUCGGAUGUGAAAUCCCCGGGCUCAACCUGGGAACUGCAUUCGAAACUGGCAGGUUAGAGUCAUGUAGAGGGGGGUAGAAUUCCAGGUGUAGCGGUGCAAUGCGUAGAGAUCUGGAGGAAUACCGGUGGCGAAGGCGGCCCCCUGGACAAAGACUGACCCUCAGGUGCGAAAGCGUGGGGGGCAAACAGGAUUAGAUACCCCCGUAGUC
rnacentral:rRNA from 1 species